CCAGUACCAGAUCACAUGGCCAAGCUUAAAACACAGAAUCAUACUCUGUGAUUUCAGACCUGAAACUUCUUUUCUUCUUGUAACAACAUGUUAUGAAGAUCAGUUAUGGUACUCAAGAAAUACUUGUUGACUGACUGAAUGAAAUGAACAUCAGGCCUACCCAGGUCCCUUGUAUGAACUGGCACCAUACUCACCAUGCUUAAAAUACAUAGACUUUAAAUGCA